rnacentral:rRNA from 1 species
CGAAGGUGCAAGCGUUACUCGGAAUUACUGGGCGUAAGCGUGCGUAGGUGGUGGUUAAGUCUGAUGUGAAAGCCCUGGGCUCAACCUGGGAAUGGCAUUGGAACUGGAUCACUGGAGUGCGGUAGAGGAUGGCGGAAUUCCCGGUGUAGCAGUGAAAUGCGUAGAGAUCGGGAGGAACAUCCGUGGCGAAGGCGGCCAUCUGGACCAGCACUGACACUGAGGCACGAAAGCGUGGGAGCAAACAGGAUU